ensembl:misc_RNA Y_RNA Y RNA
GGAUGGUCCAAGUGCAGUGGUGUUUACACAACACAACACAAUUUAUCACAACCAGUCACAGAUUUAUUUAUUCCUUCUCCACUCCCUACUGCUUCACUUGACUAGCCAAAU